UGGAGGUGGAGGGAGGGUGCGGCCCAGUGAGCCCGCCUCCAGGGGAGGAGGAAGUGCCGAGACCUGGUCCGGCGCGGCGCGAUGGGACUGAGCCAGGCGAGGCGACAUCGGGGCUGUGCUGAGGGGGUGGGACGAGCUUAUGGCCUCCCCAGGACGCGUUAGGGGCGGGCGGAGUGGGUCUCCCUGGGACCAGGAAAACGCUCCGCGGUUCGCCGGGGUCCUAGCUGGUGGCCCCACCCCCCUCACCUGCUUGCGCGGGGCGACUCCCAGGUGGUAGGGGGCGCCGCCACCGGGGGCCAGCACCACCUGCGGGGCCAGCACCUCCUUCUCUGCUUGCAGCCGGUGCCCGGUGGCCGCGGUCUGAGCCUUGUCCAGCAGCACGAGGUGGCGCCCUCGCACCCACAGCCCCGACCCCUCCUCCAGCAGCGGCUCCCCCACGCCACGUCCAUCGUCUUUCAGAAGCCUCCGGUGCACCUGUGGGGAGUGGCCAGGAGAGGGCAAAACUAUCUUAAUGCAAUGACCCACAUAUGCAGAAGUUCACCUCAAGGGGAAUCAUGUCAGAUGUGAAACUUGCAAAAAAAAAAAAAAAAGAUGUGAAACUUGCCAUUACCUGCCCCACCCCGACCCUAAGAGGAAAUGUCAAUGAGAGGUCCCAAGAAACCCCAAAAGGGUGAGCUCCUAUUCCCAGCCAGAUGUACCCUCAGAUAUUGUAAAUGAGAAUCACCCAAGUCCUAUCCAAGUAUGAACUCUCAAGUAUCCACCUCAGAUAUAAUCCCCUCCUCCCACAGAUCCUUGGUGAACUCUUCAAGCAGCUAUACCUGGUUCUCCCCAUUCAUGGACCAUGUGGGAACACCUCACCCCCAGUUUCAAAAGCUAAGUAUAAUCCUGACACCCACAGCAGAUGUGAAAAGCCUUCAUACUUGCUCCCAAGGCCUGACUGUUACUCAAGCAGCCAUGAAUACCAGCCCAGUGUGAAAAUCCUUAAUAUUCUCCUCAGAUCUUAGCCCUCUUAUCUGAUGGAGAUGUAAACCUGACUGGACAUGACUCACCACCCUCCUAGGCUCCACACCUCUCCCACAACUCCCCCCACACCCACUCAUCAUACAAGGCUCCAGACCUUCACCACGCGGGUUUGAGCCCAGUGGCUCACGAUCAGUGGUUCCUGGCGGUUGGGUCUGAAGAUGUAGGCACCUGAGACCUGGGUACUUAGGUUGUUGCCUACACUGGCAUUGUACCUGGGGCCGGAACAGGUGAGAGUCAGGUAAGCUCUACUUACACCCCCUCCCUGGCCUGACAGUCCCCCACUCACCAGUAAAAGGCUUGGCGAACCGGCAACAGGAGGUUCUGUUCCAGGUUUUCCAACUCCACCAGGAAUCCUGUGUCAGGGUCAAACCUAGCCCGGAUGUACUGGGUAGAAAAAGGCAGACAUGUUAAUAACCAUCAUCUCAGCCAAGGAUAGCUUCAUCCUUCCUGGGGCUCAGGAGAAAACCCAGAAGCUACCUCCCCUCCUCUCUCUCUCUCCCUCUCUCUCUCUCCUCACACCUGGCCCUACUGACAAAUCAUAAUAGCUCUACCUUCCACCUUCUCAAUCUGAUCACUUCUCACCAUUUCCACCGCCUUCUGGGACAAGCACAGCCCACCCCUUCCAGGCUCGCUCCUCCAGUCAAUUCCACCCCCCACGGCCACCAGAGGGUGCCAGUGACACCCUAAGUACCACCCUAAACUGUCCGCUUGCCGGUUUGAAGAAUCCUAGUGCCGGUUUGAAGAAUCCUAGUGCCUUAACCCGUAACCCGGGAGACUUCUACGGGCCCACGGAAACACGUAAAUUUUAAUUUAUUUUAGAAUCAGAAGAAAACUUAAAUGUAAUAAUAAUGAAUAUAUUAUAAUGAA